AAGAAGGCUGCAGCGUUGGGGAAGGAAGGAAAGAAGAGGAGACCUCACUCGAUUCUUUUGGUUCUAUCUUCUCAAACCCAUGUCUUACUUUUGGUUUAAUUUGAGAAUUAUGUGUAAUUAAAUUUCUAGAAGUUAGGGGCUGUUUUGAUGCCCCAAAUAUGAUUGCAAGUUUGUUAUGACAUUUCGUUUCAAUUUCUUUUAUGAAAUAUGAAAAUUGGUUCACUACUUAUGUCAAUGAUGAGUUCUUUAUAUGUUUUCUAUGUAUGCAUACUUAAUAAGCAUAUCUAGGAUUCUAAUACUAUGACUAUGUGUGUGUCUGCCCUUGUUGAAUGAGGACCUACAUAUGUU
rnacentral:lncRNA from 1 species